rnacentral:rRNA from 1 species
CCUACGGGUGACAGCAGUGAGGAAUAUUGGUCAAUGGACGAGAGUCUGAACCAGCCAAGUCGCGUGAAGGAUGACUGCCCUAUGGGUUGUAAACUUCUUUUAUAUGGGAAUAAAACAGGGUAUGCAUACCCUCUUGUAUGUACCAUGUGAAUAAGGAUCGGGUAAAUCCGUUCCAGGAGCCGCGGUAAUACGGAGGGUUCGGACGUUAACCGGAUUUAUUUGGUUUAAAGGGAGCGUAGGUGGAUUGUUAAGGCAAGUGUGAAAGUUUGCGGCUCAAACGGAAAAUUGCAGUUGAAACUGGCAGUCUUGAGUACAGUAGAGGUAUGCGGAAUUCGUGGUGUAGCGGUGAAAUGCUUAGAUAUCACGAAGAACUCCGAUUGCGAAGGCAGCUCACUGGACUGCAACUGACACUGAUGCUCGAAAGUGUGGGUAUCAAACAGGAUUAGAUACCCCUGUAGUC